rnacentral:rRNA from 3 species
GUUGGCGGCCAUAGCUGGGAGCUAGGACCCGUACCCAUUCCGAAAACCCGCCUUUGUGAGACGGGUCGGGAGCACGGAAGUGAAUCUCCCAGGCGAUCACGAUGGUAGUGUGGUGAGAGAUCCCACGCGAAACCGCGACCGCUGCCAACU